rnacentral:rRNA from 1 species
AGUCGACGGUGAGAGGAGCUUGCUUCUUGGAUCAGUGGCGAACGGGUGAGUAACACGUGAGCAAUCUGCCCUUGACUCUGGGAUAACUGCGGGAAACUGUAGCUAAUACCGGAUAUUACCUUGGAAGGCAUCUUCUGGGGUGGAAAGAAUUUUGGUCAAGGAUGAGCUCGCGGCCUAUCAGCUAGUUGGUGAGGUAAUGGCUCACCAAGGCGACGACGGGUAGCCGGCCUGAGAGGGUGACCGGCCACACUGGGACUGAGACACGGCCCAGACUCCUACGGGAGGCAGCAGUGGGGAAUAUUGCACAAUGGGCGCAAGCCUGAUGCAGCAACGCCGCGUGAGGGACGAAGGCCUUCGGGUUGUAAACCUCUUUUAGUAGGGAAGAAGCGACUGGGUUUUCCUGGGAGUGACGGUACCUGCAGAAAAAGCACCGGCUAACUACGUGCCAGCAGCCGCGGUAAUACGUAGGGUGCAAGCGUUGUCCGGAAUUAUUGGGCGUAAAGAGCUCGUAGGCGGUUUGUCGCGUCUGCUGUGAAAACCCGAGGCUCAACCUCGGGCCUGCAGUGGGUACGGGCAGACUAGAGUGCGGUAGGGGAGAUUGGAAUUCCUGGUGUAGCGGUGGAAUGCGCAGAUAUCAGGAGGAACACCAAUGGCGAAGGCAGAUCUCUGGGCCGUAACUGACGCUGAGGAGCGAAAGCAUGGGGAGCGA